UGGUCAAUUCAGCAAAAAAAUUGAAGCAGAAGCAUUGAAACUUGAAAGCAAGAAACUUAUCAGUCAUGGGAAACAGUAGCAGUAGUGGUGGAUCUGUUUCUGAGCAUAUAUCUCACGCUAGCAAGACUGGAGUCUGUGUAUUACAGUCUAGAGGUCUCAGUGAGUUGCCACAAAAGACCCAGUCAUUGUCUGUUAAUCUCCGUACACUAGAUGCAUCAGAUAACAAGCUAUCUAGUAUUCCUUCUUGGGUUGGCAGCUUUAAGGUCCUCAAAUCUCUUAACAUAUCAAAAAACAAUUUAAGGUCACUGCCUUGUGAACUCUCUGAGCUAAAGAAGCUAGAGACAUUGAAUGUUUCUGCCAACUGUUUGUCGAUGUUUCCUGAUAGUUUUGUAAACUUCAAGGCUCUCAAAACUGUCAAUCUCUCUGGAAAUAAGCUGACAUCUUUCCCGCUCUUCCUCUGUCAACUGACCCAGGUCAAUUUCGUUGACCUCUCAUCAAACCAGAUCACGUCUAUCCCAGUUGGCAUUGAGGUUAUCAGUGCCGUCGAGAUCAACUUGAAUCGGAAUCAGAUUAGCGUCAUUCCGGAAUCAGUGUCUCAGUGUCAGAACCUCAAAGUCCUGAGACUUGAAGAGAACUGUAUUAGUCUAGUUGGUGUUCCACCUACUGUGCUGAGAGAUUCAAAUAUCUCAUUACUUUGUCUUGAUGGCAACCUCUUCCCUCCUAGAGAACUACAUGAAAUGCCUGAAUAUAACAAAUAUAUGGAGAGGUACACAGCCUCCAAAAAGAAAGCUUUAUAGAUUUAUAAUUCUAGACUGCACCUGCAAAGCUAUACUAUACUGUUCUUCAGAGAAAUCCGGAUCUAUCAUUAAUUAUUCUAUUUCUUUUGUCAGCUUUUGUUGACACAUUGUUGUUUAUCAAUAAUUAUUAAUUUAUUUUAGAGAUUAAAUGAUUAAUUUUAGAGGCGUGGUUGGUGGUUACACGUGGGUAACAAUGGCGGCUAGUUCAGAAGAAUGGACGUCCAUAUUGACUCCUAUUCUUUCAGGAAUAAAUCGUUACAAUCCCAACAACAUUGAAUGCCUUGAAAUGUACGUCCAGUUUCAGGUAGAAAAUCCUUCAGUGUAUAAUUUGGAAGCCAACCUUUCUUUGAUGAAACUUUACCAGUUCAAUCCUAAUCAUUUUAAUGUUGACAUAGUGUGCAAAAUGUUACUAAAAUCAAUAAUGGCACUACCAAAGAUUCAUCUUGCUCUACUCAUAUCCGUCCUUCCACUAAAUCAGCAAAGUAAUGAAGAGGUUGUUAAGAUAAAUUCGCUAUGCUCUCAUUUGGAAUCAUGCAGUUUCACAGAGUUCUGGUCAUUGGUAGAAGAGUGUGGUGAAAUUAUUAGUAAAGUGGUUGGUUUUAAGGAUGCUGUGAAGAACUAUAUUGCUGAAUUAGUUAAUAUUACAUAUCAAACUAUACCUGUACCUCAGCUGAGUUCUUACUUAGGAAAUAUGCCUGAAAAGGAAUUGGAACAGUUUGCAGUGAGCAAUGGCUGGAAGAUCAAUGAUGGUGUUGUCUUUAUAAGAGGACAAGAGGAAUUGAUCAAGCCCAAAAGAAUUCUUGCUAAAAUUGAUUUUGAAAGUGUUAGCAAUAUAAUAUCAUCUACUCGUUGAUAAAUGAAGAUUGAACACUGUCUUUAUUAUUAUUAUUAUUGUUUUCAUUUUCAUAAAACUACUUUGUAAUCAUAG